CCACGGGGCAUGCUCAGUACGGCGAGUGAAGCGGCAAAAGCUCAAAUUUGAAAUCUGGCACUUUCAGUGUCCGAGUUGUAAUUUGUAGAAGUAGUUUUGGGACUGGUCCUUAUCUAUGUUUCUUGGAACAGGACGUCAUAGAGGGUGAGAACCCCGUAUGAUGAGGCCCCCAGUCCUUUGUAAAACGCUUUCGAAGAGUCGAGUUGUUUGGGAAUGCAGCUCUAAGUGGGUGGUAAAUUCCAUCUAAAGCUAAAUAUUGGCGAGAGACCGAUAGCGAACAAGUACAGUGAUGGAAAGAUGAAAAGAACUUUGAAAAGAGAGUGAAAAAGUACGUGAAAUUGUUGAAAGGGAAGGGCAUUUGAUCAGACAUGGUGUUUUGCGCCCUUUGCUCCUUGUGGGCGGAGGAUACGCAGCUCACUGGGCCAACAUCAGUUUUGGGAGCAGGAUAAAUCUGUAGGAACGUAGCUUUCUUCGGGAAGUGUUAUAGCCUAUGGGAAUACUGCUACCUGGGACUGAGGACUGCGUCUUUUGACAAGGAUGUUGGCAUAAUGGUUAAAUGCCGCCCGUCUUAA
rnacentral:rRNA from 1 species